rnacentral:rRNA from 1 species
UGGGGAAUCUUGGACAAUGGGCGCAAGCCUGAUCCAGCAAUGCCGCGUGCAGGAUGAAGGCCUUCGGGUUGUAAACUGCUUUUGUACGGAGCGAAAAGGUCUGCCCUAAUACGGUGGGCUCAUGACGGUACCGUAAGAAUAAGCACCGGCUAACUACGUGCCAGCAGCCGCGGUAAUACGUAGGGAGCGAGCGUUAAUCGGAAUUACUGGGCGUAAAGCGUGCGCAGGCGGUUAUAUAAGACAGAUGCGAAAUCCCCGGGCUCAAACUGGGACCUGCAUUGGGGACUGUAUAGCUAGAGUACGGUAGAGAGGGAUGGAAUUCCGCGUGUAGCAGUGAAAUGCGAAGAUAUGCGGAGGAACACCGAUGGCGAAGGCAAUCCCCUGGACCUGUACUGACGCUCAUGCACGAAAGCGUGGGGAGCAAACA